rnacentral:rRNA from 1 species
UACGGGGGGGGCAAGCGUUGUUCGGAAUUACUGGGCGUAAAGGGCUCGUAGGUGGCCAACUAAGUCAGACGUGAAAUCCCCAGGCUCAACUUGGGAACUGCGUCUGAUACUGGAUGGCUUGAAUUCGGGAGAGGGAUGCAGAAUUCCAGGUGUAGCGGUGAAAUGCGUAGAUAUCUGGAGGUAUACCGGUGGCGAAGGCGGCAUCCUGGACCGAGAUUGACACUGAUGAGCGAAAGCCAGGGGAGCAAACGGG